CCUACGGGAGGCAGCAGUGGGGAAUAUUGCACAAUGGGGGAAACCCUGAUGCAGCGACGCCGCGUGAGCGAUGAAGUAUUUCGGUAUGUAAAGCUCUAUCAGCAGGGAAGAAAAUGACGGUACCUGACUAAGAAGCCCCGGCUAACUACGUGCCAGCAGCCGCGGGAAUACGUAGGGGGCAAGCGUUAUCCGGAUUUACUGGGUGUAAAGGGAGCGUAGACGGCGGUGCAAGCCAGAUGUGAAAGCCCGGGGCUCAACCCCGGGACUGCAUUUGGAACUGUGCUGCUAGAGUGUCGGAGAGGCAGGCGGAAUUCCUAGUGUAGCGGUGAAAUGCGUAGAUAUUAGGAGGAACACCAGUGGCGAAGGCGGCCUGCUGGACGACAACUGACGGUGAGGCGCGAAAGCGUGGGGAGCGAACAGGAUUAGAUACCCCAGUAGUC
rnacentral:rRNA from 1 species